UACGUAGGGGGCGAGGGUUGUCCGGAUUUAUUGGGCGUAAAGAGCGUGUAGGCGGCCAGGUAGGUCUGCUGUGAAAACUCGAGGCUCAACCUCGAGACGUCGGCGGAAACCAUCUGGCUAGAGUCCGGAAGAGGAGAGUGGAAUUCCCGGUGUAGCGGUGAAAUGCGCAGAUAUCGGGAAGAACACCCGUGGCGAAGGCGGCUCUCUGGGACGGUACUGACGCUGAGACGCGAAAGCGUGGGGAGCGAACAGG
rnacentral:rRNA from 1 species